rnacentral:rRNA from 2 species
AGCAUGUGGUUUAAUUCGAAGCAACGCGAAGAACCUUACCAGGGCUUGACAUGCCGCUGACCGGUUUAGAGAUUAGACCUUUAUCCUUCGGGGUACAGCGGACACAGGUGGUGCAUGGUUGUCGUCAGCUCGUGUCGUGAGAUGUUGGGUUAAGUCCCGCAACGAGCGCAACCCUUGUCUUUAGUUGCCAUCAUUAAGUUGGGCACUCUAAGGAGACUGCCGAUGCAAAUCGGAGGAAGGUGGGGAUGACGUCAAAUCAUCAUGCCCUUUAUGUCCUGGGCUACACACGUGCUACAAUGGUCGGUACAACGAGAAGCAAGCCAGCGAUGGCAAGCAAAUCUCUAAAAGCCGAUCCCAGUUCGGAUUGCAGGCUGCAACUCGCCUGCAUGAAGUCGGAGUUGCUAGUAAUCGCGGAUCAGAAUGCCGCGGUGAAUGCGUUCCCGGGUCUU